GUUUCAAGACACAAAACAUUACUACAACGUCAAAGGAGUAGACGUGCAAAAUGUCCACAAUCGGUUUGAUGUUUUAUCUACUGAUGUUAUGGCUUCAUGAUGCUUGGGCUGCACCGAUAGUGCAUCAGAAGCAGAAAUCCGUUCUUCUCCAAAUGAAAGGCUCCUUCGUGCUGCACUGCAGUCUGGAAGGAGCAGCUAUGAGCAGCUAUACCAUGUCUUGGUACAGACAGAAGCAUUUGGGCGACACCAUCGAGUUCAUCUGUGACGAGUACAAAAACUACGGCCAGGGUCUGAAUGACCGUUUCCAAAUGACACACAACAGCAACGCAAACCAGUUUACUUUGGAGAUGAGCAAUUUAAUUAGUGAGGACAGCGGCGUUUACUAUUGUGCAGCCAGGCACGGCGAUGUCUAUGAGUCGAGGGACUGUACAAAAAUAAAUAAUUAAAUAAAAUACCAUAAAUACAUAAAUAAAUAAAUAACUAUACAGCA